rnacentral:lncRNA from 10 species
AAAAGAGUCGUCGGUGGGCGGGGGUGGGGGUGUUCACAUUAAAAAUUAGACUUUUGGCUUCUCUUGUCAAAACAAAACAUUUGGUAACACUGGGCCAAAUUUCUAAAUGACUGUAGUCAGAGCUGAGUAGAGGCAGCCCUGGAACCUGUGUUCUUUGAUUUGCUACUGCCCUCCAAACAUGUUUUCCCUCUCCCUUCUCCCUUUUCCCUAUCUCCCUUUCUUUUGGAUAAUGUUUUUAAUGGAUUCAACCAAAAAUUACAAGGCAAACAGCACUUGCCUGCGAAACUUAUGCUAUGGUAGAGUCAUUUCCAUGACAAUUAACAUUAUAUGAAUUGCAAGUAAUGUAGUAAUGUCAGCCUACUUUAUACGUUUCCGUGCUGUCAAACAUUAAAACAAGAAACAGGAAUUUCCAGUUCAGACAAGAUGGCAUAGACCUAUUUUUUCUUGCUCCUCCCACUGAGGAUAACUGUAAACCCUGGAAAAAACAAGAGGCAACCAAAGGAGAAUUCUGAAAGGUGAAAAGAGGAAGGCAAACUAGUUAUGUCAGUACUAGAGAAACAACAUAACAGCAGGGACCUCACAACCCCCACCAACAACAGCAACAACAGAAGGUGGCCCAGGCCUAGUGUUUCUGAAUGCCAACCUAGCAAUAGAGGGUGGCCCAGCUAGACUAAUUCUCACCCAUAUCUAACAGAAAUCCCUCCAGCAACAUCCACAGCACCUGUAAAGAGCCCUAAUGACCGUAAGUGGUUAAGAGAAGGGGUUUCCUUCCUCACCGGACCUGCAGCUUCUCUUUCCCACCAAGAGACAUCAGGUAUCUGAGUGGCUCCAACAAGAAGGAUUCUAGAAGUGGCCCAGAAAGCCUCUUUGUUUCUGUGGGACUGCGACUCUCGUCUACCCAGAGGCACUGAACAUUCAGAGACACUGGACAUCUACCCAGAAAACACCAGGAAAGGGGAUCUGGCCACAACAUGCAGUCAAGUAUGGGAAGCCCCUGUGUUCUCACAGGCAAGAGAAUUUUGCUUCUUCACCCAGAGACACCAAGCAGCUGGGUGGCAUUAGCAAGGGAGAUCUGGUCAUAAUGGGUGUGUGGUCCAGGAAGCCUCUUUAUCCUUGUGGGCCAGAGACUUCCCUCUCCCACUCAGAAACACUGGGCAGCCAGGUAGCACCAAUAAAGGUGAUCCUGCCACAACAAGAAACCCAAAAUGGGAAGCCUCUUUGUCCUUGCAGGCUGGAGAUCCCCAUUCCAUACUUAGACCAGGUGGCCUGGCUUGGGGAAUUUCUUGCCACCCACAUAGGCAGUACCAGUAGAGACCAGCGGGAGCCCCAGUGAUACCAUAUAAACCAAACAUACCAAGAUAGCACUGCAAAGGCUAUUUUCCAAGGAAAUUGUCAUUGAAACUACAGCCCACAAAAGUAGGUCAGGACCUGCAUGUUAAACCCCAACAGGGUGUAUGACUGCCUUCUAAAAUAAAAGAUUUAAAUGAGACCCAGAGUGUCUUAACAUGAUAACCAAAAGGUCCAGGAUACAAUUGGAAACCACCAAUCAUAUCAAGAACCAGGAAGAUCACAACAUGAAUGAGAAGACAAUCAUCUGAUGCCAACACUGAGGUCUUGCAGUUACCCAACAAUGAUUUAAAAAUAGCCAUCAUAAAAGUGCUUCAAUAAGCAAUUAAAAACUUUCUUGAAACCUUGGAGAAAAUAGAAAAUCUCAGCAAAGAGUUAGAAAUUAUAAAAAGGCCGGGCACAGUGGCUCACUCCUGUAAUCCCAGCACUUUGGGAGGCCAAGGUGGGCAGAUCACCUUGAGGUCAGGAGUUCAAGACCAGCCUGACCAACAUGGCGAAACCCUGUCUCUACUAAAAAAAUACAAAAAUUAGCUGGGCGUGGUGGCACAUACCUGUAAUCCCAGCUACUGGGGAGGCUGAGACAGGAGAAUCUCUUGAACCCAGGAGGCGGAGGUUGUAGUGAGCUGAAAUCGUG